rnacentral:rRNA from 1 species
UACGUAGGGGGCAAGCGUUGUCCGGAUUCAUUGGGCGUAAAGAGCGUGUAGGCGGCCAGGUAGGUCGGUUGUGAAAACUGGAGGCUCAACCUUCAGAGGUCGACCGAAACCAUCUGGCUAGAGUCCGGGAGAGGAGAGUGGAAUUCCUGGUGUAGCGGUGAAAUGCGCAGAUAUCAGGAAGAACACCCGUGGCGAAGGCGGCUCUCUGGAACGGUACUGACGCUGAGACGCGAAAGCGUGGGGAGCGAACGGG